AUUGAACGCUGGCGGCAGGCCUAACACAUGCAAGUCGAGCGGAUGAAGGGAGCUUGCUCCUGGAUUCAGCGGCGGACGGGUGAGUAAUGCCUAGGAAUCUGCCUGGUAGUGGGGGAUAACGUCCGGAAACGGGCGCUAAUACCGCAUACGUCCUGAGGGAGAAAGUGGGGGAUCUUCGGACCUCACGCUAUCAGAUGAGCCUAGGUCGGAUUAGCUAGUUGGUGGGGUAAAGGCCUACCAAGGCGACGAUCCGUAACUGGUCUGAGAGGAUGAUCAGUCACACUGGAACUGAGACACGGUCCAGACUCCUACGGGAGGCAGCAGUGGGGAAUAUAGGACAAUGGGCGAAAGCCUGAUCCAGCCAUGCCGCGUGUGUGAAGAAGGUCUUCGGAUUGUAAAGCACUUUAAGUUGGGAGGAAGGGCAGUAAGUUAAUACCUUGCUGUUUUGACGUUACCAACAGAAUAAGCACCGGCUAACUUCGUG
rnacentral:rRNA from 1 species